CAAAGCAAGAACUUCACAAGCGGACUGUAAUACAACAGAAUUGGAAAAAUAUAAGGAGCUGUAUCUAGAAGAAUUAAAACUUAGAGAAUCUUUGUCAGAUGAACUAAACAAGCGUAAAGAAAUUCUAGCAGAUGUCAGUACCAAACUUCUUCAAGAAAAAGAGUGGAGCAGAUCUUUAUUUACUUCUCAUACUACAAGGCCAGUCCUAGAGUCAGCAUGCAAUGGAAAUCUUAAUGAAAAUUUAGGUCUCAGCAGAAUACAUAUUCCAAGAGAAGCCUUAAGAAUUCCUACCUUAAACUCAUUGUCUUCAAAUAUCAGAAUGGAGAGCGACUUGUCAAAGGAAGACAAGAAUGGAGGACACUUUCUGGAACUCCAGGCUUGACAACAUCUCUCGGUGUUGUGACUCGCAUCCUGUUGUGAGGUAAGGGCUAUGCUCCCUGCUGUCUCCUCUCACAUGUCUGCUCCUAUCCAGCAUAGACUAUGAGAAUGCUGAGCAUGCCGAUCAAGCUCCCUGGCAUCUCUGCUUUGUGUGCUAAGCUGGAGCAUGU
ensembl:lncRNA novel transcript